AGCAGGACGGUGGCCAUGGAAGUCGGAAUCC
rnacentral:piRNA from 8 species